rnacentral:rRNA from 1 species
CGCGUGGGAAUCUACCUAGUAGUGGGGGACAACAGUCGGAAACGACUGCUAAUACCGCAUACGCCCUACGGGGGAAAGCGGGGGAGUCUUCGGACCUCGUGCUAUUAGAUGAGCCCGCGUAAGAUUAGCUAGUUGGUGGGGUAAUGGCCUACCAAGGCGACGAUCUUUAGCUGGUCUGAGAGGAUGAUCAGCCACAUUGGGACUGAGACACGGCCCAAACUCCUACGGGAGGCAGCAGUGGGGAAUAUUGCACAAUGGGCGCAAGCCUGAUGCAGCCAUGCCGCGUGUGUGAAGAAGGCU